GAUGAACGCUCGCUACAGGCUUAACACAUGCAAGUCGAGGGGAAACGGCAUCGAAAGCUUGCUUUUGAUGGGCGUCGACCGGCGCACGGGUGAGUAACGCGUAUCCAACCUGCCCAUCACUUGGGAAUAACCUUGCGAAAGUAAGACUAAUGCCCAAUGACAUCCCACGAAGGCAUCCGAAUGGGAUUAAAGAUUUAUCGGUGAUGGAUGGGGAUGCGUCUGAUUAGCUUGUUGGCGGGGUGACGGCCCACCAAGGCAACGAUCAGUAGGGGUUCUGAGAGGAAGGUCCCCCACAUUGGAACUGAGACACGGUCCAAACUCCUACGGGAGGCAGCAGUGAGGAAUAUUGGUCAAUGGGCGAGAGCCUGAACCAGCCAAGUAGCGUGCAGGAUGACGGCCCUAUGGGUUGUAAACUGCUUUUAUAAGGGAAUAAAGUGGGUCACGUGUGACUUUUUGCAUGUACCUUAUGAAUAAGGUCCGGCUAAUUCCGUG
rnacentral:rRNA from 1 species